rnacentral:rRNA from 1 species
AAAGAAUGGUUGGACGAGAUAUAAUCUGUUUCAUUUAAAAUUAAUUAGAAUUUUAUUUUUUAGUUAAAAAGCUAAAAUAUAUUCAAAAGACGAGAAGACCCUAUAAAUCUUGAUUAUUUAGUAAUUUUUAAUUUAUUUUGAUUUUUUUUAUUAUAAAUUUAUUAAUUAAUUUUAUUGGGGUGAUAUUAAAAUUUAAAUAACUUUUAAUAAUUUUUGUCAUUUAUUUAUGAUUAAGUGAUCCGUUAUUAGUGAUUAAAAAAUUAAGUUACUUUAGGGAUAACAGCGUAAUUUUUUUGGAGAGUUCUUAUCGAUAAAAAAGUUUGCGACCUCGAUGUUGGAUUAAGAUUCAUAUUUAAAUGCAGAAGUUUAAAUAUAAAGUCUGUUCGACUUUUUAUUCUUACAUGAUCUGAGUUCAAACCGGUGUAAGCCAGGUUGGUUUCUAUCUUUGAUUUAAUAAAAUAUUUUAGUACGAAAGGAAUUAAUAUUUAUUUUUAAAAAAUUAAUUUAUGAAUAAAUUUAAUUACUAU